GACACAAAUAGCAGAAAGUGUACGUGUGUACUAAAAUUAUGUACGUGUAAUAAAAUUAUCUGAUGAUGUUCCAAUUUCCAAAUAUAAUAGUUUAUGAUAAUGAAAAGAGAAUCUGCCUUAAAUAUUUGCAUGUCCUGAAUCUCCUGGUAGACACUGAAGCAGUGUCAUAAAAUCCAUAAGCUAUGUCUGUAGUUCCGAAAGUCUCAGGCAUGAUGAUUCAUGAAAAUUUUUUAGUGCAACAGAUCCAAAAGUUAAACAAGCAGCCUGAUUUGAGGCAGCCUUGUACAUAGGAUGUCAUAACCUAAGUUGCCCCACUGGUGAACCUAAAAAUGUUUGUUAUACACCACAUAAACUACUGAGGCAG
rnacentral:misc_RNA from 1 species